UACGAAGGGUGCAAGCGUUACUCGGAAUUACUGGGCGUAAAGCGUGCGUAGGUGGUUUGUUAAGUCUGCUGUGAAAGCCCCGGGCUCAACCUGGGAAUGGCAGUGGAUACUGGCAAGCUAGAGUGCGGUAGAGGGGUGUGGAAUUCCCGGUGUAGCGGUGAAAUGCGUAGAGAUCGGGAGGAACACCAGUGGCGAAGGCGGCUCUCUGGACCAGAACUGACGCUGAGGCACGAAAGCGUGGGGAGCAAACAGG
rnacentral:rRNA from 1 species